rnacentral:rRNA from 1 species
GACGAACGCUGGCGGCGUGCUUAACACAUGCAAGUCGAACGGAAAGGCCGGGCUUGGGUGGGGUGCUCGAGGGGCGAACGGGUGAGUAACACGUGAGUAACCUGCCCUUUACGGUGGGAUAACUUCAGGAAACGGGGGCUAAUACCGGAUAGGAGCUCCUGCUGCAGGGUGGGGGUUGGACAGUUUCGGCGGUUGGGGAUGGACUCGCGGCUUAUCAGCUUGUUGGUGGGGUAGUUGCUUACCAGGGCAUUGACGGGUAGCCGGCCUGGGAGGGUGACCGGCCACCUUGGGCCUGCGAUACGGCCCAGACUGCUACGGGAGGCAGCAGUGGGGAAUCUUGCACAAUGGGCGGAAGCCUGAUGCAGCAACGCCGCGUGCGGGAUGACGGCUUUCGGGUUGUGAACCGCUUUCGCCUGUGACGAAGCGUGAGUGACGGUAAUGGGUAAAGAAGCACCGGCUAACUACGUG